UACGGGGGGUGCAAGCGUUGUUCGGAAUUACUGGGCGUAAAGGGCGCGUAGGCGGCCUGCUAAGUCGGACGUGAAAUCCCUCGGCUCAACCGAGGAACUGCGUCCGAUACUGGUGGGCUUGAAUCCGGGAGAGGGAUGUGGAAUUCCUGGUGUAGCGGUGAAAUGCGCAGAUAUCAGGAGGAACACCGGUGGCGAAGGCGGCCUUCUGGGCCUGCACUGACGCUCAUGCACGAAAGCGUGGGGAGCAAACAGG
rnacentral:rRNA from 1 species